CAGUCGCCGCGGUAAUACGGAGGAUCCAAGCGUUAUCCGGAAUCAUUGGGUUUAAAGGGUCCGUAGGCGGUUUAGUAAGUCAGUGGUGAAAGCCCAUCGCUCAACGGUGGAACGGCCAUUGAUACUGCUGAACUUGAAUUAUUAGGAAGUAACUAGAAUAUGUAGUGUAGCGGUGAAAUGCUUAGAGAUUACAUGGAAUACCAAUUGCGAAGGCAGGUUACUACUAAUUGAUUGACGCUGAUGGACGAAAGCGUGGGGAGCGAACAGGAUUAGAUACCCCAGUAGUCCCUGUCUCUUAUAC
rnacentral:rRNA from 1 species